ACGUCAAUUUUCAAAAGAUCAUCAUAGAAGUCUAUACAUAACAAGUACUUACUAAAAGCCAACCAUAAUUUACAUAGUAGUUUACCACCUCCUAACUUUUGCCCCCACAAGGGGCGUCACUAAACUGUCAUCAUUAUGGGAUCAACUGCCGUGAGCCCCUACUCCUCAUGCAUGUUUGCCUCAUGGACAAGCAAGGUUUGGUCCUAAAUCCGAGUCGUGCACUAUGACAUUUACUUGGAGGGUGUUGUUUGGUGCACCAAAAUAAAUUUCUUCAAGGCCUAAACCAAUAAUGGACCCAUGUGUUAUUAGCUAGAACCACAUGCUCCUAGAACGUUAGAGAAACAAGAUUGUUCCCUGCUUAAAUCAAUUGUUGAUGGACCAUGCAUGUCAUGGCAAGAAUAUCCUGGCCAUUGCAAAAAAUCAUAAUGAAGUAAUAACUUCAUAUAGCAAAUACUUUUCUACAAAUGGAUGGUAUGUAUAUGUUGCAAACUAACCUGAUGGUACAUUUAGCACUUCACCUCAAAUAAACUACAUUUUGUCUAAAUUUGUAAUUAACUACAUUUUAUCUAAAUUGGAAACUAAUUUGGCACAUUCAUAGCAUAUCCAACCAUGCACCUAUAGGCUUGGAGAAGAGGAAACUCACCUCAAGGAAGUGGAGGUGGCAAAGACACGUCAGGGGAGGAGGAAGAUGUUGGACGGUGAAUAUCACUUGGGGAGGAGGAAGAGUUGAAGGCCCCGACAACAUGUUCUCUGACAAGAGGAUGCCAUGUCGCUACCAAAACCUAAUAUCCUUGAGGGCCAAAAAUCCUCAAGAAAACCAUGAAAACCACCAAGGAAAUCAAUCCUAGUAGCCAAAGAUAGAGAACAAGGGAAAUUCUUGGAGGCCGACUGCCACGAAUGGUAUGGUUUCCUUUGGGGUUUAGCCACGAAGAAAACAAAGAAACCCCCAAGGAUAUACAUUUUGUUGAGUAUUGAUGACUGCCAAAGAAAUUGUAAGAACCAUUAAGGAUAUAUAUUUUCUUGAGGGCCAAUGGCCCCAAGGACAUAUGCUAAUGACCACAAGGAUAUAUAGAGCAAGCGCAAGGAAAAAACAACUCAAUGGGAGAACAUCACACAAAUUUACACCUGCCACUACACCCUAAAGUAACAUGUGACUAAGUGAAUAAUUCUUUAUUUGUAUUCACUUUAGCAAAUCUUGUAAUUAAUAUUUGAGACCCUAACAUUCAAAUGAAAAAAGUUUGAACUAAAAAAUUUUAGGACAUAUCUCCAUCCAUGGUCAUUUAGAAAAAACAAAAAAAAAUCAACAUUUAAAAUUCUGAGAACUUAAAAUAUAAUUUUUGGACUCUAAAUAUAAAUGCCAUCAACUAUAAAUUUGUAGAUCUCGAGCUCUACAACUCAAAUUUCUACUUUUUGUUGGAUUAAUGUACCAUGAGAAAACCAUAUUUCAUUCCAUGAACAUGCUAGAGGCACAUUUCUGCCUAUAAAAUGUAAUGUCUAACUAGGAAUCCUACAAUGAGUCCAUUAUAUUGGUGGCUAAGAGAAAAGACUAGAAAAUAAACAUUUUUUCCUCAGCGGCUACACCAAUUUCUUCAUGGUUUGCA
rnacentral:lncRNA from 1 species